AUGAUUACAGCAGUUCAAGAAAGUGGUGGGACUAUUGCACCCCAGGUGUGCUGACCCCCCGCAAUUUCUCCAAAUGUGAGAAACUCGACUGCAUAAUUUGUGGUAGUGGGGGACUAUGUUCAUGUAUUCCACUG
rnacentral:snRNA from 1 species